rnacentral:rRNA from 1 species
CUCCUGGAAACGGGUGGUAAUGCCAGAUGCUCCGCCCCCUCGCAUGGGGGGUCGGGAAGGCUUUUGCGGAAUGGGAUGGGGUCGCGUCCUAUCAGCUUGUUGGCGGGGCGACGGCCCACCAAGGCUUCGACGGGUAGCCGGCCUGAGAGGGCGACCGGCCACAUUGGGACUGAGAUACGGCCCAGACUCCUACGGGAGGCAGCAGUGGGGAAUAUUGCACAAUGGGGGGAACCCUGAUGCAGCGACGCCGCGUGCGGGAUGGAGGCCUUCGGGUCGUGAACCGCUUUUGAUUGGGAGCAAGCGUGAGUGAGUGUACCUUUCGAAUAAGCACCGGCUAACUACGUGCCAGCAGCCGCGGUAAUACGUAGGGUGCAAGCGUUGUCCGGAAUCAUUGGGCGUAAAGGGCUCGUAGGCGGUUCGUCGCGUCCGGUGUGAAAGCCCAUCGCUUAACGGUGGGUCUGCGCCGGGUACGGGCGGGCUUGAGUGCGGCAGGGGAGGCUGGAAUUCCCGGUGUAACGGUGGAAUGUGUAGAUAUCGGGAAGAACACC